rnacentral:rRNA from 1 species
CCCAGACUCCUACGGGAGGCAGCAGUGGGGGAUAUUGCACAAUGGGGGGAACCCUGAUGCAGCGACGCCGCGUGGGUGAAGGAGCGUUUCGGCGCGUAAAGCCCUCUCGGCAGGGAAGAAGGAGGACGGUACCUGACUAAGAAGCCCCGGCUAACUACGUGCCAGCAGCCGCGGUAAUACGUAAGGGGCAAGCGUUAUCCGGAUUUACUGGGUGUAAAGGGGGCGCAGACGGCAGCGCAAGCCAGGAGUGAAAGCCCGGGGCCCAACCCCGGGACUGCUCUUGGAACUGCGCGGCUGGAGUGCAGGAGGGGCAGGCGGAAUUCCUGGUGUAGCGGUGAAAUGCGUAGAUAUCAGGAGGAACACCGGUGGCGAAGGCGGCCUGCUGGACUGCGACUGACGUUGAGGCCCGAAAGCGUGGGGAGCAAACAGGAUUAGAUACCCCAGUA